rnacentral:rRNA from 1 species
UACGUAGGUGGCAAGCGUUGUCCGGAUUUACUGGGCGUAAAGGGCGCGUAGGCGGUCGUGACAAGUCACUUGUGAAAUCUCCGGGCUUAACUCGGAACGGUCAAGUGAUACUGUCGGACUAGAGUGCAGAAGGGGCAACUGGAAUUCUCGGUGUAGCGGUGAAAUGCGUAGAUAUCGAGAGGAACACCUGCGGCGAAGGCGGGUUGCUGGGCUGACACUGACGCUGAGGCGCGAAAGCCAGGGGAGCGAACGGG